rnacentral:rRNA from 1 species
GUGCACGCUGGCGGUAGGCCUAACACCUGCCAGUCGAACGGCAGCACCGUAAGAGCUUGCUCUUACGGGUGGCGAGUGGCGGACGGGUGAGGAAUACAUCGGAAUCUACUUUUUCGUGGGGGAUAACGUAGGGAAACUUACGCUAAUACCGCAUACGACCUACGGGUGAAAGCAGGGGAUCUUCGGACCUUGCGCGGUUGAAUGAGCCGAUGUCGGAUUAGCUAGUUGGCGGGGUAAAGGCCCACCAAGGCGACGAUCCGUAGCUGGUCUGAGAGGAUGAUCAGCCACACUGGAACUGAGACACGGUCCAGACUCCUACGGGAGGCAGCAGUGGGGAAUAUUGGACAAUGGGCGCAAGCCUGAUCCAGCCAUACCGCGUGGGUGAAGAAGGCCUUCGGGUUGUAAAGCCCUUUUGUUGGGAAAGAAAAGCAGCAGGUUAAUACCCCGCUGUUCUGACGGUACCCAAAGAAUAAGCACCGGCUAACUUCGUG